rnacentral:rRNA from 1 species
CCUACGGGGGGCAGCAGUGAGGAAUAUUGGUCAAUGGACGAGAGUCUGAACCAGCCAAGUAGCGUGAAGGAUGACUGCCCUAUGGGUUGUAAACUUCUUGUAUAUGGGAAUAAAAUGUUCCACGUGUGGGAUUUUGUAUGUACCAUAUGAAUAAGGAUCGGCUAACUCCGUGCCAGCAGCCGCGGUAAUACGGAGGAUCCGAGCGUUAUCCGGAUUUAUUGGGGUUAAAGGGAGCGUAGGUGGAUUGUUAAGUCAGUUGUGAAAGUUUGCGGCUCAACCGUAAAAUUGCAGUUGAAACUGGCAGUCUUGAUUGAGCGAGAAGUCUGCGGCAUGCGUGGUGUAGCGGUGAAAUGCAUAGAUAUCACGCAGAACUCCGAUUGCGAAGGCAGCAUACCGGCGCUCAACUGACGCUGAGGCACGAAAGCGUGGGGAUCGAACAGGAUUCGAUACCCUUGUAGUC